rnacentral:rRNA from 1 species
UCGCCUGUUUAUCAAAAACAUCGCCUGUUUAUCAGAAACAUCGCCUGUUUAUCAAAAACAUCUCCAGUGAUCGAAGACAUCGCCGGUUUAUCAAAAACAUCGCUGGCUUUAUAUAAAUAUUUGCAGUUUACUUUUAAGUGAAAAGGCUUAAAUAAGUUAGGGGGACGAUAAGACCCUAUAAAACUUUACAGAUAUGAUUAUAUUUAUUAAAAUGGAGUUUAAUAGUAUUUAUUAUUUUAUCUGUUGUGUUGGGGCGACAAAGAUAUAAUAGGGUAACUGUUAGUUUUAUUUAAUAGUGAUAAUUAGUUUAGUUGAUCCUUUAUUAGAGAUUAUAAGAAUAAGUUACUUUAGGGAUAACAGCGUAAUUUUCUUUAAGAGUUCGUAUCGACGAGAAUAGUUGCGACCUCGAUGUUGAAUUAAGAUUUCCUUUAGGCGGAGGAGUUUAAACGGUAGGUCUGUUCGACCUUUAAAAUCUUACGUGAUCUGAGUUCAGACCGGA